rnacentral:tRNA from 1 species
GGGGAUGUGGCUCAGUGGUAGAGUGCCUGCUUCGCGUGUAGGAGGUCCGGGGUUCAAUCUCCAGCUGCUUUU